rnacentral:tRNA from 1 species
GCGAAAGUGGCGGAAUUGGUAGACGCGCAGGACUUAGAAUCCUGUAUCGCAAGAUGUGUGAGUUCGAGUCUCUCCUUUCGCA